UUGAACGGAAAGUGCUGCACUCCUCUUAUAAUCGAUCCGUGCAAUUUCUAAAUUGACUUUGAAAAAUACACCAAAUAUACCCAGGGGAAAUAAGCUUACAAUGCGGAUUGCUGCCUAAAUCCAUUAUACAGAUAGCACAGCGCAUUUAUUGUUGCGAUGAUUGAAAAGAAAUGAGAUUAGCAGGCUUCGCAUAACAUAUUUAGUAAAUCCAGCACUUCCCCUUCCACAACAGAGAGCUUAACAUCGCCUAGAAUUAUAAACAGAGUACCGUAUAUCUUGGUUUUCCUAAUUUUGAAUUCCCUGCUGAACAGCUCUGUACACACACAGGACACGUGCCUAGAGUAGAUGGGUAACCACUACCCUCAUUUGGACGUACCAGCAGAUUUGUGACUUAUUUCACUGCGCGGAUUUGGAAGAAGUGAUUCUACUUCCAACAGGACUGCCUCCUCAGAAAAAGGCACGGACGCUCAAGAGAAGUACAGAAAGAUAAGUGACAUGUUCCUGUGCCAGUAUGAUCAGGCUACAUCCAUUCUUGCUGGGGAACAACAUAAAGCUGGCUUGAAGUCCAUGUGCCACAGAAGCACAGAGUAGAAACUACGGUGUGAACACAAAAACAACAGCAAGUAAAAAAUCUAUGGGGAAACAGAGGCACAGAAAGCAAAACUUGUCGCUCUUCUGGGCUUUGCCACACACACACCGAGCAGGAGAAGCAGCCGAGCAACGUGACUACUGUUUCAAAUGCUGGUCAUUGUUCCGCUGUCAUCUUCUAUUCCUCCUUCUACAUUUCUAGUGCUCACCAACAGCACGCCCGUUUACCUCCAAAUAAUCAGCGCUUUGGGUGAGAGCUGCAGGCAAUGUUCAGCAAGAUUAAGUCAGAGCCCCUAAGCAUCACUGCUAUGCACACAACCACAGCAGCACCAGCCCUAACGCUGGCUGUGGGCUGAGUGGGAAUGAACGAUUGCAAGAGGGGAUUUUUAUUGUAAUAAGGCUCGUUACGUAUUACUGUGAUACUCCUAUUUUGCAUAGUCUUGCACAAACUCACCCACCCUAAAGCAUGUAAGUGGUCAUCAUGUUUUUCUCCUGGUCAAGCAAGUGGAGCUAUUUGAGACUAAGACAGGCAAAAAACUUAAAAUGAUAAAAAAUGAACCAUAAUGAGAAAAGUCUCUUGGAUGACAAUACCAAAAUGCUGAAGCAGACUCCAGAACAAAUAAAACAUGAGGAAACACUGCUGUGAUCUGGCAGGUACCAUGCCACACAAACCUGAACCAAGUGGGUUUCCACUGUUUGACUCUGGACUUUGCUCCUGGGCCACAAGAAGUGCCUUUUCCAGCCAGCACUCAUUUCUACGUUGGUGAACUCAGGCAACAAAAGCUCCAUUGCUUGAAAACAAAAGCAUUCACGCUAUUCAGAUGUGACCGCCUCCAAGUCACCACACACCUCCCGCAACAGUACAUCACCUCCUGUCAUCUGAGAGCCUCAGUAAACCUAUCAGUGCUUGUAUCUUCAGACAGAUGAAACAGGAAAAAAAUAAAUAAAUCAGAGAGUGGUAUGCUUUACUGUCCCCAGUCUGCUGAAUUUGGGAAUUCCCUUCAUAGUUUUUCCCCCUCUGAAUGCUAACAGACGUGUCACAAAGACCACGGAUACCCAGAUUUAUACAGGAUCAAGAGAAACCAAAAAAAGGAAUUGGCCAAGUAACGUAAGGGCGCUUGUUUUCAGCAGAUCUGCAAAACAUUACAUGAACUGGUUCUUGCCAUCUUCAAAUAAGCAAAGAAGUCUGAGUUCUCCAAAAACGCACGAGUUGCCCUAUGGUUCUGCUCAGUUUUCUGCUGAAGAUGCCUACCAUACAGGAGGAUUUACAGCAGAGGUGCCCCUCGGCUGUGCCACCUCUCCCAGCAAAAGGGGAGCGUGACACACGGCUUACGCCAAAACCCCUCCGCUGCCUGCUUUUUUAUAGGGCUUCAAGGGAACAAGCUGCAAACCGGGUCCUGAGCUACAGCCUUCAAUAGCAUCCCACCUUCCAGCAUGGAUCUGACCGCUCUGUGUUCAAAGACAGCUUCAUGUUCUUUCCUUAGCAGCAGCAGCUCUCACUAUCUAUACUUACAUAGGUAUAUAUAUAGAGAGAGAUGGCUUGUACAACAAAGUCUGAAAAAAUAUACCACAAAAGAUGUUAGCACGAGUUGAACUGAGAACUUCUUGCUCUGUUCUCAGAGGAAUCCGUGGUUUCUUUCUGACAGGAGGUAAUGCUAGUGGUGCGGGUUAUCUGUGCCGCUGCAGCUACCGGAGCAGCGCUUCUCAGCCUCUGGGUCAAAGUAGGUCAUAAACCCCUCGCAGCGGUUUGCAAAACAACCCGUACACCAAGUCAGAUUUUCAAAAAGUAAGCAUGCACUUGUAGGUAUGGGAAGAACUAAACAGAAACCAGCACUGGAAAAAUUAUGGUAAUUCAAAAGCUUUUCGUUUACAUGCCAAAAACUGUAGGCAAAGUACUGUGGCAGCACUCCCCAAUGCAUCUGUGAUGCCUUUUUUUUUUUUUUUUUCCCCAAAGGAGCUUCACAAUGCCCAAAUUUCUUCCAACAUGUUUAAGAAGACAUUUGAUUUAGCAAAAAACACGCCUGAGAAGCACUGAUCUAGAUGGCCUCAUCUCACCCUCAGGGUGCCCUGACUGGGCGUCUAAUAGUCCCAGAUUCUCACCAGACAGAUCGUGGGGAUCAUAAACCAGAGGUGAGAAGAGGAAAGUUGGAUAUCAUGGAUUUCCACCCAUGCUGGUUUUAGGAUCAGUGACGCAAUCUGUUCAAAGAGCAACUCUUCAUUCCACAUUCAAAACGUUGAGAGAUGUGAAAAAAACCUAUCAUUAAAUAAUAAAAGCGAAAAGUGAGUCAGAGAACAUUAGAAAAAAAAAAAGUGAUUUGUGGCUCGUAUUUUAAGAGCACCUCAUUUAUGAUUCAAGACAAGAUCGUAAACACACUUAAGACAAAAUUUGGGUGGCACUGGGGAGCCAGGCUAAGGAGCGCAGCCCUUGGAAGUGCUGAGUACUUUCUCCCACAGCUGACGCUGCGCCACCUCACCCUGAGCAGGAACGAAAGCACGAACUGGCCCAACCACAAGGGCCCCAGCUCUUGCUGGGAAGGCUGUGACUCCUGCUCCACGUACACCAGACGUGGUAACUGCUUCGCACGCAGCACAACGCCCUUGGACUCUGUCGACGGGGCGCCUGAAUAAGCAGGCCCCAGUGAAUCAGCACGCUUUCUCCCUGAGCCUCGCAUCUGUUGCUCCAGGAGAAAGAGGAGAACGCACUCCCCACCCCACAGGAGCCUCAGCAGCAGCAAAGCACCUACGGGGAAGGCGUGAGAUGCGGGUUUGAAGGACCUCAGGCUGAAGAAAGAAUUGAGCUUUGGUUUGACCUAUGUCCUUCGGUGGCCACAGGCUGCUUUUGUCUUCACUAAUAUUUCCCCCGAUGUUAGCAAGCUCCAGAAACCACCUUUCUCCUUGUGAAGACAACGAAGUAAAGCACGUUUUGAUCAUACCAACACAACAACUUCCUGUGCUAAUUUCACACAGGGUCUUCAGCUCUCAUUUUUGACUCUCGCACCACCAAAUGCUUCCAUUGCCUCCUAGUGAAAAUAAGCUUGUUUUGACUUCUGGCGUGAACCAAUCAUACUGAAAAUUGAGUCAUACUGAGAAUUUUGAAACAAGCUAGGAAAAAAAAAAGUAAACUUGGAAAAUUCAGAAAUGAUAAUGAUUUUCAAAAUAAAUCCAGUAUCAUUAUAUGCUCAUCCAUCUCUCUCCUCCUUCCCCACCACCAUAGGAAUUGCACUAAGUGAGGGACAUGACAGCCUGCAAUUAACCUUCCCCUACAUAGCAGGGGCCCUUACAGUGUGCUAAGCAGCUGAGAAAAAUAAAUAAAUAAAUAAAUGAAAAACUGAGCCCCAGCUAUUUGUUACAGGAGGCUUAAGAUGAAUAAAAGGAUCAAAGCAAAUAACACUUUCAGACAGCCUAGAAGGAAAACAAUGAGCCCAUAAUGGGCACAUGAUUGCCAUCCUCCUCGUGAUAUCCAACAACACAAUUAAGGUCAACUGUACAACCGCUUCCAAUUUGUUUUUUUCUUAUUGCCUAGCCAAGGAGAAAACAGACAUCAGUUCUGAAGAUGUGUGUUUUCUUAUAUAAACAGAAUAAAUAGAUAAGGAGGUUCAGAGAGUAGUAUAAAUCAAGAGGUUCUUUUGGCACCAUCAGAGUUAAAAACUCCAACUUUAAUAUGGAAUAUUUCAAAUAUUAUCAAGCAGAAAUAAUCAAACUUUGGUUUAAUUGCUCCCUUUGUGAAAGGACUUUAUUAAAUUAAUUAACCAAGUUAUCUUCCCUGAGUAUGAUCCAUUACUAAUUCUAAAAUUAUUGAUCUUUGUAUUUGGAAGUCGCUGUUCAGCACCAAAUUGCUUUCUGCAAUUAGCAUAUACUAGCAAGCUUAAUAAAACUCAAGGACUCCUCUAAGGUCCUAAGAGACUGUAAAAUGAAAAUAUUCUUAAGUAUGCUCAGAAAUUACCAUUAUGCAUAGUCAUCUUGAUCCUGGGUAGGGAAGGCAGUAAGAACUUAAGUAACUAUUGACAGCAUGAGUCCCAAGUGAGCUUACUAUGAAAAAUUCUCCUUUCUCUUGUCAACACUGCCUUUCAUGCUAAUCAAGUUGCACUACCAAGACAUUCUCCUUUUUGCCCUCCAAGUUACAUCUCACAGGAACAUGCAUACAGAAACGCAGCAUUGCCCAAAUCACAUUAAUAUUGUAUUCCUUUCUCACACUCUGCUUCGGAAAACAGUAAUCACAAAGUCCUCAACUUCUGUGCAAACAAGAGUGAUCAUCACCAAUUGACAAGAAAGCUGUUGUAUGGAAUAAGAAAAAAGCUUCCCGAGAUGCCACAGACUUCACUAAAUGUAAAAGUCCACUAAAAUGCUACUACUUGAAUUCCUAAAAAUCUACAGAAGUCAAAACCAAAAAAGGAAACCUGACUUUAAAGUGACUGAGGAAAAGCAAAAGUUAAUCUUGCAUGAAAUCAUUUAGGAGAUGGAAGGGUUAAAGCAAUCUUAUACAUAUUAAAUUAAAAUUAAUUAUAUUCCCAGCUCAGUGGAAGCCAAUUUCAAUUUUCUGUAGUUCCUGACUUGUCACUAUUAUCUACAUAACCAGUUAAUUUUGAUUUUUUUUUUCUAGCUGGUAUGAUUUUGAAUUUGGGUAAGAUAUGUAUUUUUACUUCAGACAGAUGUAUACAUCUGCACAUAUGGCUUAUUCAUUACUGGAAGCUGGAAAACAAAGAUUUUCAGCAAUUGAUAACCAACAACAAAACAACAACAAACUUUUUUCUAAGCAUAACAAUCAUUCUUUUAGCUACACACAAACAGAGCUAAGAGAUCUCGUGCACAGCUUGUUAGAACAUGCAACUUCAGGACAACGUUGCUGUCUUUUCCUCCAAACAGAGGACAGUAAGGGAUGUGACCUGCACGCAUGACUUCUGAUUUAUGCUGUGCUGACGGGGAGGAACCACACUGCCAGCAAGACAAUUUCUCAUGAUUACAGUGUUUACUAGUCUCGCUGAGACUAGAAGUCCUUGUUCUGAAUACAAGAAAAACUGUGAAGAGUUCAGAUCCAAGACAUAAAGCAUGUACAGCAUGUCCAAGCUAAAUGUCUCCUUUAUGUAAAAGAUAGAUGACACGCUCUAAUUAAAGGUUAGUCAAGGAGUGUAAUGACCAGAGGCCAAACACAAGAGUUUAAAAUCUUGAUUACAGGUUGGGCCAACAGAUCAAAGCAACAAAUUGUCUCAGUAUUCCUAGAAACAACUUUGUGAACUUUUGAUUAGAAGAUUACCAUGUCCAGGAAUUACUUCUCCAUUGCUUGAGACUUUUUCUUCCCUUUCAAUAGCCCACACAAUUUAGACGCUUGCUUCUUACUCGCCUACUUUUACUGGUGCUAAAACACCCACCAAGGGGAACAA